GAUGAAGAACGCAGCGAAAUGCGAUAAGUAGUGUGAAUUGCAGAAUUCCGUGAAUCAUCGAAUCUUUGAACGCACAUUGCGCCUUCUGGUAUUCCGGAAGGCAUGCCUGUUCGAGAGUCAUUAACAACCGUUUCGAUCCCUUUCUUUCAGAAAUUACAAAGAGGAAAAGGGUUUGGUUAUGGUGGAGGAGGGAAAGGGAGCGUUUAGCCUGUAAAAAAAGAGGCUGUGUUCCGCCUCCCCCCCAAAAUUGUACAGGCGGGCGUGUGCGCCCACGCAUCGAGGUGUUGUAAAAGCUGCCACGGCACUUUUCACCUGUGCAGUGCGAGAUUGGCCAGCCGGUUUAAAAACCCCUCCAAACAAUCAAAGGUUGACCUCGGAUCAGGUAGGGAUACCCGCUGAACUUAAGCAUAUCAAUAAGCGGAGGA
rnacentral:misc_RNA from 1 species